rnacentral:rRNA from 1 species
UCGCUUGCCAGGGGACUACGAGCCCCAGCUUAAAACCCAAAGGACUUGGCGGUGCUUUAGACCCCCCUAGAGGAGCCUGUUCUAGAACCGAUAACCCCCGUUUAACCUCACCCUCUCUUGUUCUCCCCGCCUAUAUACCGCCGUCGUCAGCUUACCCUGUGAAGGACUAAUAGUGAGCGUAAUUGGUACAACCCAAAACGUCAGGUCGAGGUGUAGCGUAUGAGAGGGGAAGAAAUGGGCUACAUUCACUGAGUCAGUGAAAACGAACGAUGCCUUGAAACACUUAUCUGAAGGAGGAUUUAGCAGUAAGAGGGCAGUAGAGCGCCCCUC